GUUGUAUGGUUAAGUGACUAAGCGUACACGGUGGAUGCCUUGGCAGUCAGAGGCGAUGAAAGACGUAGUAACUUGCGAUAAGCCCAGAUUAGGUAGUAACAACCAUUUGAGUCUGGGAUUUCUGAAUGGGGAAACCCACGUGCAUAAGCACGUAUCCUUACCUGAAUACAUAGGGUAAGGAGGCGAACCGGGGGAACUGAAACAUCUAAGUACCCCGAGGAAAAGAAAUCAACCGAGAUUCCGAAAGUAGCGGCGAGCGAAAUUGGACUAGCCCUUAAGCUUUACACGCGUUAGACGAACGGUCUGGAAAGUCCGACGAUACAGGGUGAUAGUCCCGUAGUUGACGACGUGUGUUCAGUGAAAUCGAGUAGGGCGGGACACGUGAUAUCCUGUCUGAAUAUGGGGGGACCAUCCUCCAAGGCUAAAUACUACUGACUGACCGAUAGUGAACCAGUACCGUGAGGGAAAGGCGAAAAGAACCCCUGUGAGGGGAGUGAAAUAGAACCUGAAACCGUGUACGUACAAGCAGUAGGAGCAGGCUUGUCCUGUGACUGCGUACCUUUUGUAUAAUGGGUCAGCGACUUAUAUUCAGUGGCAAGGUUAACCAUCUAGGGGAGCCGUAGGGAAACCGAGUCUUAACUGGGCGUUCAGUCUCUGGAUAUAGACCCGAAACCAGGUGAUCUAGCCAUGGGCAGGUUGAAGGUUGAGUAACAUCAACUGGAGGACCGAACCGACUAAUGUUGAAAAAUUAGCGGAUGACUUGUGGCUAGGGGUGAAAGGCCAAUCAAACCUGGAGAUAGCUGGUUCUCCCCGAAAGCUAUUUAGGUAGCGCCUCGGACGAAUACUACUGGGGGUAGAGCACUGUUAAGGCUAGGGGGUCAUCCCGACUUACCAACCCUUUGCAAACUCCGAAUACCAGUAAGUACUAUCCGGGAGACACACGGCGGGUGCUAACGUCCGUCGUGGAGAGGGAAACAACCCAGACCGCCAGCUAAGGUCCCAAAUUACUACUAAGUGGGAAACGAUGUGGGAAGGCUCAGACAGCCAGGAUGUUGGCUUAGAAGCAGCCAUCAUUUAAAGAAAGCGUAAUAGCUCACUGGUCGAGUCGGCCUGCGCGGAAGAUGUAACGGGGCUAAGUAGUAAACCGAAGCUGCGGCAAUAUACUUUUGUAUAUUGGGUAGGGGAGCGUUCUGUAAGCGGUUGAAGGUGUGUGGUAACGCAUGCUGGACGUAUCAGAAGUGCGAAUGCUGACAUGAGUAACGAUAAAGGGGGUGAAAAACCUCCUCGCCGGAAGACCAAGGGUUCCUGUCCAACGUUAAUCGGGGCAGGGUAAGUCGACCCCUAAGGCGAGGCCGAAAGGCGUAGUCGAUGGGAAACGGGUUAAUAUUCCCGUACUUCUUACAAUUGCGAUGGGGGGACGGAGAAGGCUAGGUGGGCCUGGCGACGGUUGUCCAGGUUCAAGUGCGUAGGCUUAAGAGUUAGGUAAAUCCGGCUCUUUUUAAGGCUGAGACACGACGUCGAGCAUCUACGGAUGUGAAGUCAUUGAUGCCAUGCUUCCAGGAAAAGCCUCUAAGCUUCAGAUUGUAAGGAAUCGUACCCCAAACCGACACAGGUGGUCGGGUAGAGAAUACCAAGGCGCUUGAGAGAACUCGGGUGAAGGAACUAGGCAAAAUGGUACCGUAACUUCGGGAGAAGGUACGCUCUCGACGGUGAAGUCCCUUGCGGAUGGAGCUAUUGAGAGUCGCAGAUACCAGGUGGCUGCAACUGUUUAUUAAAAACACAGCACUGUGCAAAAUCGUAAGAUGACGUAUACGGUGUGACGCCUGCCCGGUGCCGGAAGGUUAAUUGAUGGGGUUAGACUUCGGUCGAAGCUCUUGAUCGAAGCCCCGGUAAACGGCGGCCGUAACUAUAACGGUCCUAAGGUAGCGAAAUUCCUUGUCGGGUAAGUUCCGACCUGCACGAAUGGCGUAAUGAUGGCCACGCUGUCUCCACCCGAGACUCAGUGAAAUUGAAAUCGCUGUGAAGAUGCAGUGUACCCGCGGCUAGACGGAAAGACCCCGUGAACCUUUACUACAGCUUGGCACUGAACAUUGACCCUACAUGUGUAGGAUAGGUGGGAGGCUUUGAAGCACGUACGCCAGUAUGUGUGGAGCCGUCCUUGAAAUACCACCCUUGUAGUGUUGAUGUUCUAACGUCGACCCCUAAUCGGGGUUGCGGACAGUGCCUGGUGGGUAGUUUGACUGGGGCGGUCUCCUCCCAAAGAGUAACGGAGGAGCACGAAGGUGGGCUAAUCACGGUUGGACAUCGUGAGGUUAGUGCAAUGGCAUAAGCCCGCUUGACUGCGAGAAUGACAAUUCGAGCAGGUGCGAAAGCAGGUCAUAGUGAUCCGGUGGUUCUGAAUGGAAGGGCCAUCGCUCAACGGAUAAAAGGUACUCCGGGGAUAACAGGCUGAUACCGCCCAAGAGUUCAUAUCGACGGCGGUGUUUGGCACCUCGAUGUCGGCUCAUCACAUCCUGGGGCUGAAGUCGGUCCCAAGGGUAUGGCUGUUCGCCAUUUAAAGUGGUACGCGAGCUGGGUUUAGAACGUCGUGAGACAGUUCGGUCCCUAUCUGCCGUGGGCGUUGGAAGAUUGAAGGGGGCUGCUCCUAGUACGAGAGGACCGGAGUGGACGAACCUCUGGUGUUCGGGUUGUGUCGCCAGACGCAUUGCCCGGUAGCUAAGUUCGGAAUCGAUAACCGCUGAAAGCAUCUAAGCGGGAAGCGAGCCCUGAGAUGAGUCUUCCCUGAUACUUUAAGUAUCCUAAAGGGUUGUCGGAGACUACGACGUUGAUAGGUCAGGUGUGUAAGUGCUGUGAGGCAUUGAGCUAACUGAUACUAAUUGCCCGUGAGGCUUAACCAUACAACACCCAAGGGGUUU
rnacentral:rRNA from 1 species